UACGGAGGAUCCGAGCGUUAUCCGGAUUUAUUGGGUUUAAAGGGUGCGCAGGCGGGAGAUUAAGUCGGCGGUGAAAUUUUGCAGCUCAACUGUAAAAGUGCCUUCGAUACUGGUUUCCUUGAGUGUGGAUGAAGUAGGCGGAAUUUGUGGUGUAGCGGUGAAAUGCUUAGAUAUCACGAGGAACUCCGAUUGCGCAGGCAGCUUACUAAACCACUACUGACGCUCAGGCACGAAGGCGUGGGGAUCAAACAGGAUUAGAUACCCCCGUAGUCCCU
rnacentral:rRNA from 1 species